CAAGUACUCCCUCCGUCCGGAAUUACUUGUCAUCAAAAUGGAUGUGUCUAGAACUAAAAUACAUCUAGAUACAUCCAUUUCAAUGACAAGUAUUUUCGUACGGAGGGAGCACAAG
rfam:Triticum aestivum genome assembly, contig: Triticum_aestivum_CS42_TGACv1_scaffold_186959_2DS